rnacentral:rRNA from 1 species
GACGAACGCUGGCGGCGUGCUUAACACAUGCAAGUCGAACGGAAAGGCCCUGCUUUUGUUGGUUGCUCGAGUGGCGAACGGGUGAGUAACACGUGAGUAACCUGCCCUUGACUUUGUGAUAACUUCAGGAAACUGGGGCUAAUACCGGAUAGGAGCUCCUGCUGCAUUGUGGGGGUUGGAAAGUUUCGGCGGUUGGGGAUGGACUCGCGGCUUAUCAGCUUGUUGGUGGGGUAGUGGCUUACCAAGGCUUUGACGGGUAGCCGGCCUGAGAGGGUGACCGGCAACAUUGGGCCUGCGAUACGGCCCAGACUCCUACGGGAGGCAGCAGUGGGGAAUAUUGCACAAUGGGCGGAAGCCUGAUGCAGCAACGCCGCGUGCGGGAUGACGGCCUUCGGGUUGUAAACCGCUUUCGCCUGUGACGAAGCGUGAGUGACGGUAAUGGGUAAAGAAGCACCGGCUAACUACGUG